AGCUAAGAAAAUAUUGGUACGAUUUAUGUCAGAGAAUGUUUUGCUUACGUUCUUUUCUAGGAGUUUUAUGGUAUCAUGUCUUAUAUUUCAGUCUUUAAGCCCAAAUGAUUCAGUUUUUGCCUCAGUCAUCUGAGGACCAAUCUCUUACCUGAUCAUUCUCAUCACUGGUGUUAUGGACUCAAUAUCUGUGUCCUCCUCAGAUUCAUAUGUUGAAGCCUCUAGGUCACAAUGGGAUGGUAUUUGAAGGUGGGACCUUUGGGGGAUAAUUAGAGUCGUGAUGGGAUUGGUGGCCUUAUAAGAAGAAGAAGCUUGCACACACUGAGGAAAGACCAUAUGAGGACAUAGAGGAAGUAAGCUCUCCCCAGGAAGCCAAUCUGCUGGCACCUUGAUCUUGGAUGCCCCAAGCCUCUAGAACUGUGAGAGACAAACUUCUGUUGUUUAAGCCACACAGUCUAUAGUAUUUCGUAUGACAGCCAAGCAGACUAAGACAGGUGGUGCACCUGGCCCUGGAGUAGGGCAGGGGAGCUCUCUCACCCUGGUGGAGGAAGACUGCAUGGAGAAGGCAGGGUUUGGAGACCUUCCUGAAUGAACACAGGCCAUGCUUUACAAGCUGAGACUUAAAUGGUAAAUAGGAGUGAGGCAAGAGAAGCAAGAAUCUGGUGAGAAGGGACUUGGGGAGGAGUGGGAGGAUUUUUGACUUUGCUUUGCCGUGUACCCCAAUGUCUGAAGCAGUAGGCACUCAACAAAGAGUUGCUGAAGGAAAUAAUAGACGGAGCCACACAGCGAAGUCCCUGUGGCCUGGAGGAGCCUGGAAGGCUGGUUCUCUGCAGUGCUGUCUUCAGAAGCUCAAAGCAGCAAGAGCGGAAGCCCAGAGAUAUAUACUGCUGUGCUCUGGCCCCCUGGGAAGUGGGCACUGAGGCUGAGUUUAUUGAGCACGAUGCACGACGCAUCGAAUCGAUCUGGCUGGGUGAGCCGCGACAAACCAAACCCCGCAGAAAAAGGCAUCAGCAAAUUUAAAGCCUCGUUCAAGGUCUUGAUUCACCAUAAACUAAGUUGCCGGCAGCAGGUGUUGACACUUCUUCCACGGCGGUUGAUACCGGGAUUUAUCGACUUGCCAUAAGAUGUUGAUAUUGACCAAGACUGAGUUCCAAAUGAAAAGGCCUAUGGCAGUAUAUCUUUAUUGCUCAGAUAAUCUGCGGACUUGCUAAUCCUUCCUUGUCCCACUCAAUAAUGUUGCAGAAAUUCUUUUGGAACGGAGAGACCAUUACUUAAACACAACAAGAUGCUCUUUCCCUACAAGACCUCCUGAAACAGGGAUGGAGGUACCAGCAGUGUGUUGAGAACAUAACCAGUGUUGGAAAAUCUAUUUGUGCCUGUGCCCGAAACCAUAAUGCCUUUAAGUUUUUAGAGACCCAGCUCUCUCCUCUUGGGAAACAGCCCAGAAAAAAACACAGUAGGAUUUGACAUGGAACCUGUUCAUGAAUAGUGUCCACUUCCCUUUCCCCACUGGUCCACUUCAGGGCCACAGGUGUGCCUACUUCCCACCCAGGCUAGGGAACAGUAUGAUGUCACCCUUAGUGCUGGUCCCUGACAGUGAAAUUAAUGUGACAGUUGGUUCUUGCUAAUUGUGGGGCCCACUAGGAACACAGAAAAAGAGGGACAAUUUAUUACCUGCUAAUUUGUUUUCUCAUUGAAAUAAAUACAGUCUGCAGCCCUCAUUUAAGGGAGGAUAUGUAUGCAUUAGAGUCACAUAUGGUGACUUUUGAGUUAUUUUGGAUAUCAGGGUCCCUAGGAAAAUCAGCAGGGAGAAGAUGAGCAAACUGAACAGGGCCAAGGAAGCAGCCCAGAGUGGCUGGGUCAGGGAGCAAGCCAGAGGGGCAGAAUUUCCAACCCAGCUCCCUUACCCAGCUCUGUUCCCCUGGAUGGUUUCUAAGGGCCUCUUCAAAGAGGAAGAUGGAGGCCAGUGGGGAGAGGCCAAGGAAGACAGAGCCACAGGAAGAUGGAGAUUUCACAGACAUGCUCUCCCCUGCCAUCAGGUAAGCAGGUGCAGGAUGACCCAGAUGCUGACCCACAGUGGGACUCUUGCUCUGUUCUCUUUUCUAAGACUUGCAUAGUCAUUAGCAGUGCAAUCUCUACUAGCCCUCCUGGCUUGCGGCCUCAGGGAGGGAAGGAAUUGAUCACAACAUGAACUGCAUUCCAAAGAGGUACUAACAGAGGUUGAGAGCACAGGCUUGGCCGCCAGACAGUUUUGGGUUUGCAAUCUGGCUUCUGCACUUAUCAGCUGGGUGACCUUGGGCAAGUCUCUUAUCUUUUCUAAGCCACAGUUUUCUCAUCUGUAAAAAGGAGGAAAUAGUAACUGUACCAUGGCAGGCAAUGUUUAUGGCCUCCUUUUCUUCCUUGCCAACAGAAUAUCAAUUUUGUUCAGGUGUCACUUCCCAUGAUUUCUGGGGAGGUGGGCCUAGGUCCUGAUCCUAGAGUGAACAUGUGAUCAGUUCUGGCCAAUGAGUUGAAAAGGGAACAUUUUGGGAGUCGUUCUGGCAUUUUCCCUCCCUGAUAUGAGAAGGCAGACAAAGAGCAUCUCUGUAUUCUGUCUGCCACCUGCUUCCUUCUUGACGUGAAGUUGGUUGGUGGGAGGAACCCCCCCCCCCACCCCGCUCAUGCUGCCCCCUGCUUCCUACAAUGGAAAUUUCUUGACUAAUGCUAUGGCUGUGGCAGCAAUUUUAUUCCCAAGAGACCAGGAGAAUGUGGAGACACCUAUUCAGGGUCCUCCAUCAUGGAGCAGCUAAGACAAAGCCUAACUGCCCAAGUUUCACGUGAGAAAAAUGAACCCUUGUUUGUUAAUGUUGCUGUGAAUUGAUUAUUCUGUUCCUUGCAGCCAAAAGCAUUCGUAAACAAUAUAAGUACCUAUUUCAUGGUUUGAUGGGAGAAUUAAAUAAGAUAGUCGGAGGGUCUUCUGGACAGAGGCCUGAAAGCUUCUCCAAUUUCUCUGCAGAGUCUUGACAGUAGGUUUGUGAUAUUUCCUCCUUGAGAAUAAUGAUGAAAGAGAGAGGCUGGGAAAAGGAGCAGAGAAGUGAGAUAACUCCACUUUUCUCUUUCUGUUUUGGGGAGAAGGCAAUUCAGACUUUAGAUGAUGAUUCUCCAACCACUGUGCCUGUAAUUCAUUGCAUGCUGGGUCAAGCGACUAUUGAAUACAUCUUGCAGACAAUGGCUGGAUUUAAAAUUUUUUGUGUACCUCAAACAUUGGUAAAUUUCAUUCAAUUUUCUCAUUGCUUUACCUACUAAGUUUAGCAUUGUGUAGGGCAUCACUUCAGUUCAAUAAGCAGUGGUUUCCAUUGUUUUAGGUUUUUUAUUUCUUUGCCAUUAGGUCUGCAAUCUGUACAGACUGAAGGGGACUAGACAGUUCUCGUUGCAAAGGAACCUUUUGGUAAGUGAAGAAUCAUUAUUUAAUGCUAAGAAUCAUCUUCCAAUUAAUUUAUUUGCUAAAAUUCUUGAGAACCCAAUAGUUGGGUGCUCAAAUAGGGCAGCAAUCUGCCCCAGGUUGGCUUCUGAACCCUGAAGCUCAACGUAUUGUGGUAGCUCACAGCCUGAGAGAAUCUUGCAAACUAUUUGCAAGGAUCAGGGAAGGGACUGCAAAACAAUGUAUUCUUAGCUUUGAGUUGGUAUAGCUUGUCUGUCUCAUAGGUUAGUAUUUAUUUUAAAAUUUUUAUUUAAAAAUUAUUAUAUAGUAAAAUUAAUGUUUUGUGUGUAUACGAUUCUAUUAAUUUUGACACAUAUAUGGAUUUAUGUAACCACCACCAUAAUUAAAACAGUGGUCCCUCAUGCUAGCUCUUUCUAGUCACAUUGUUUCCUCACCUCCAACCUCUGCCACUGACUUGUCUGUUUGCCAUCACUAUAGUUUUGUGUUUUCGAGAAUGUCAUAUAAAGGGAGUCAUAUAGUAGAUCACCCUUUGAAACUGGCUUUUUCAUUCAGCAUAAUACCUUAGAGGUUCAUUCAAGUUGUUGUGUGUGUUAAAAAUCUGUUCAUUUUUAUUGCUGAGUGGUUGAUAUUCCACUGUAUGGUUGUUCCACAGUUUGUUUAUCCAUUCACCUUUUGAAGGAUAGUUAGGUUGCCUCCAGUUUGGGACAAUAAUGAAUAAAGCCACUAUAAACAUUUGUGUUCAGGUUUUUGUGUGAACUUGGGUUUUCAUUUCUUAGGGUAAAUAAUUAGAAGUUGGAUUGCUGGGUCAUAUGGUAAGUGUACGUUUAACUUUGUGAGAAGUUGCCAAGCUGCUUUCUGGAGUGGCCACACCAUUUUGCAUUCCUAUCAGCAAGGUGGGAGAGUUCUAGUUAGUCCAUAUUUGAAUCAGUACUUGGCAUUUGGGGUAUUUAAAAUUUUAUUUUAGCCAUUUAAUGUGUGUAGCGGUAUGUCACUAUGAUUUUAAUUUGCAUUUUCCUAACGGUUAAUAAUGUUGAACAUUUUUUUGACAUCCAUACAUCCUCUUUGAAGAAGUGUUUAUUUCAGUCCUUUGCC